rnacentral:tRNA from 1 species
GUAAUAGUAGCUUAAUUUAGAGCAUUGGUCUUGUAAGCCAAAGGUAAAAUAUUUUUCUGUUACU